rnacentral:rRNA from 1 species
UACGGAGGGUGCAAGCGUUAUCCGGAUUCACUGGGUUUAAAGGGUGCGUAGGCGGGCAUUUAAGUCAGUGGUGAAAUACCUGAGCUUAACUUGGGAACUGCCACUGAUACUAUUUGUCUUGAAUGUCGUGGAGGUUAGCGGAAUAUGUCAUGUAGCGGUGAAAUGCUUAGAUAUGACAUAGAACACCUAUUGCGAAGGCAGCUAACUACGCGAAUAUUGACGCUGAGGCACGAAAGCGUGGGGAUCAAACAGG